GAUCCUGGCUCAGAUUGAACGCUGGCGGCAGGCUUAACACAUGCAAGUCGAGCGGGGAAGGUUGCUUCGGUAACUAACCUAGCGGCGGACGGGUGAGUAAUGCUUAGGAAUCUGCCUAUUAGUGGGGGACAACGUUCCGAAAGGAACGCUAAUACCGCAUACGCCCUACGGGGGAAAGCAGGGGAUCUUCGGACCUUGCGCUAAUAGAUGAGCCUAAGUCGGAUUAGCUAGUUGGUGGGGUAAAGGCCUACCAAGGCGACGA
rnacentral:rRNA from 1 species